rnacentral:rRNA from 1 species
UUAUUUAAUGGCCGCGGUAUCCUGACCGUGCAAAGGUAGCAUAAUCAUUAGUCUAAUAAUUGUAGACUUGUAUGAAUGGUUGGACGAAAUAUUAACUGUCUCAUAUUUAUUAGUAUAAUUUAAAUUUUUGGUUAAAAUGCUUAAAUUAUUUUAUUGGACGAGAAGACCCUAUAGAUCUUUAUUUUUAUUUAUUAUUUUUAUUUUGGUUUAAUUCGUUUAUUAUUUUAAAUUAAUUUUUAGUUGGGGUGACUUUGAGAUAUAAUUAACUCUUUUUUUUAUUAUUCAUUUGUUUUUGUUUUAUUUUUUGACCUUUUAUUAUUGAUUUAAGAUAUAGAUACCUUAGGGAUAACAGCGUUAUUCUUUUUGAGAGUUCAUAUCGACAAAAGAGAUUGCGACCUCGAUGUUGGAUUAAGAUUACUUAUAUAUGUAGUAGUAUAUAUAUGUAGGUCUGUUCGACCUUUAAAAUCUUACAUGAUCUGAGUU